UACGUAGGGUCCGAGCGUUGUCCGGAGUUACUGGGCGUAAAGAGCGCGUAGGCGGCCAGAUAAGUCCGGUGUGAAAGUCACAGGCUCAACCUGUGAAUGCCGCUGGAAACUGUCUGGCUAGAGUCCGGAAGAGGAGAAUGGAAUUCCUGGUGUAGCGGUGAAAUGCGCAGAUAUCAGGAGGAACACCGGUGGGCCGAAGGCGG
rnacentral:rRNA from 1 species